UACGUAGGCAGCAAGCGUUGUUCGGAGUUACUGGGCGUAAAGGGUGCGUAGGCGGUUGUUUAAGUUUGGUGUGAAAUCUCCCGGCUCAACUGGGAGGGUGCGCCGAAUACUGAAUGACUAGAGUGCGGGAGAGGAGAGUGGAAUUCCUGGUGUAGCGGUGAAAUGCGUAGAUAUCAGGAGGAACACCGGUGGUGUAGACGGCUCUCUGGACCGUAACUGACGCUGAGGCACGAAAGCGUGGGUAGCAGACAGG
rnacentral:rRNA from 1 species